rnacentral:rRNA from 1 species
CAAUAGCGUAUAUUAAAGUUGUUGCAGUUAAAAAGCUCGUAGUUGGAUUUGUGGCGUACGGUGUGUUCCGGGCACUUGUUGUCUGAGUAACCUGCUGUUGCCAUCCUUGGGUGGAACCUGUGUGGCAUUAGGUUGUCGUGCAGGGGAUGCCCAUCAUUUACUGUGAAAAAAUUAGAGUGUUCAAAGCAGGCUUAUGCCGUUGAAUAUAUUAGCAUGGAAUAAUGAGAUAGGACUUUUUUGCUAUUUUGUUGGUUUGCGCAAGAAGGUAAUGAUUAAUAGGGACAGUUGGGGGUAUUCGUAUUCCAUUGUCAGAGGUGAAAUUCUUGGAUUUUUGGAAGACGAACUACUGCGAAAGCAUUUACCAAGGAUGCUUUCAUUAA